UAAAAUUUGAUCUUGAGUCUUAGCUGAUUUUGCUGUGGACCCCGAUCUAAAUCUUGAUGCUCGCAAGCUGUAGGUGCUGAUUCUUUCUUCAUCAUUGGAUCAAGGUGGGACAGGCGAAUCUUGUGACUUCAAUUAUUUCUUGAGCAGUCCGCAUCUUCCUCCGUUUGAACCUUUUGAAUUCACUCCUUUUGUUAUUUUUCUUCUUUCUUUAUUAUGAAUUGAGACUCAUUCUUUCGGUCAUCUCGAACCCUGUGUCUCGAGGUACAACCUGCUCAGACACAAAAAACAAAAAAACGAACGAAACUUUUCUGCCCUAGUUUUCGUUAGGAAAUUUUCGUGAGUUAUUUGCAACAAAAUCUAAACUAUUAAGGGGAUGGAGCCUUAUAUCUAAAAUGUCAACUCAGGGAUUGGGGCCCUAGUGUUGGAGAAAAGGCGACUAGGGAAUGAGGCCCUAUGUCUAAAAGGCUCAACUCAGGGAUUGGAGCCCUAAUGUUAGCAAAAGAGUCGACUAGGGAAUGGAUGCCCUAUGUCUAAAAGGCUCAACUCAGGGAUAUGAGCCCUAAUGUUGGUAAAAGGCGACUAGGGAAUGGAGGCCAUAUGUCUAAAAGGCUCAACUCAGGUAUUGGAGCCCUAAUGUUGGCAAAAGGCGAUUAGGGAAUGGAGGCCCUAUGUUUAAAAGGCUCAACGCAGGGAUUGGAGCCCUAAUGUUGGCAAAAGGCGAUUAGGGAAUGGAGGCCCUAUGUCUAAAAGGCUCAACUUAGGGAUUGGAGCCCUAAUGUUGGCAAAAGAGUAACAGAUUGAGGUUGGGAAUCUAAGCUAUCAUUUUGUAUAG
rnacentral:lncRNA from 1 species